GACGAACGCUGGCGGCGUGCCUAAUACAUGCAAGUAGAACGCACAGUUUAUACCGUAGCUUGCUACACCAUAGACUGUGAGUUGCGAACGGGUGAGUAACGCGUAGGUAACCUGCCUGGUAGCGGGGGAUAACUAUUGGAAACGAUAGCUAAUACCGCAUAAUAUUAAUUAUUGCAUGAUAAUUAAUUGAAAGGUGCAAUUGCACCACUACCAGAUGGACCUGCGUUGUAUUAGCUAGUAGGUGAGGUAAAGGCUCGCCUAGGCGACGAUACAUAGCCGAACGGAGUGGGCGGUCGGCCACACUGGGACGGAGACACGGCCCAUACGCCUACGGGAGGCAGCCGUAGGGAUACGUCGGCAAUGGACGAAAGUCUGACCGAGCAACGCCGCGGCAGGGAAGAAGGUUUUCGGAUCGGAAAGGUCUGUUGUAAGGGAAGAACCGGUGUGAGAGUGGAAAGUUCACACUGUGACGGUAUCUGACCAGAAAGGGACGGCUAACUACGUG
rnacentral:rRNA from 1 species